UGAGGAAUAUUGGACAAUGGGCGCAAGCCUGAUCCAGCCAUGCCGCGUGCAGGAAGAAGCAUCUAUGGUGUGUAAACUGCUUUUGUACGGGAAGAAACACUCCUACGUGUAGGAGCUUGACGGUACCGUAAGAAUAAGGAUCGGCUAACUCCGUGCCAGCAGCCGCGGUAAUACGGAGGAUCCAAGCGUUAUCCGGAAUCAUUGGGUUUAAAGGGUCCGUAGGUGGUUUAAUAAGUCAGUGGUGAAAGCCCAUCGCUCAACGAUGGAACGGCCAUUGAUACUGCUAGACUUGAAUUACAAGGAAGUAACUAGAAUAUGUAGUGUAGCGGUGAAAUGCUUAGAUAUUACAUGGAAUACCAAUUGCGAAGGCAGGUUACUACUUGUGGAUUGACGCUGAUGGACGAAAGCGUGGGGAGCGAACA
rnacentral:rRNA from 1 species